AGAGUUUGAUCCUGGCUCAGAUUGAACGCUGGCGGCAUGCCUUACACAUGCAAGUCGAACGGCAGCACGGGUGCUUGCACCUGGUGGCGAGUGGCGAACGGGUGAGUAAUAUAUCGGAACGUACCUUAUCGUGGGGGAUAACGCAGCGAAAGCUGCGCUAAUACCGCAUACGCCCUGAGGGGGAAAGCGGGGGACCGUAAGGCCUCGCGCGAUUAGAGCGGCCGAUAUCUGAUUAGCUUGUUGGUGGGGUAAAAGCCCACCAAGGCGACGAUCAGUAGCUCGUCUGAGAGGACGAUCAGCCACACUGGGACUGAGACACGGCCCAGACUCCUACGGGAGGCAGCAGUGGGGAAUUUUGGACAAUGGGGGCAACCCUGAUCCAGCAAUGCCGCGUGAGUGAAGAAGGCCUUCGGGUUGUAAAGCUCUUUUGUCAGGGAAGAAACAGCAGCUCUAACACAGUCUGCGAAUGACGGUACCUGAAGAAUAAGCACCGGCUAACUACGUGCCAGCAGCCGCGGUAAUACGUAGGGUGCAAGCGUUAAUCGGAAUUACUGGGCGUAAAGCGUGCGCAGGCGGUUAUACAAGACAGGCGUGAAAUCCCCGGG
rnacentral:rRNA from 1 species